AAAUGAUAUCUAACAAUAAUAAAAAACAUUUUUUAAAAUCCCCCCUAAAUUAAAAAAAACCUUCAAAUAUUUCAACAUGUUUUAAAGUAAUAGAAUUGAACAUGUAGUGAAGUGGGUGUUUUUACACUGAAAGAGUGGGAGGGAGUGUGGUGAAGAAGAGGAGGGGGGCAUCCUGGGAAUGUAAGGAGGGGUGUGUGUGUGUGUGUGCGUGUGUAUAUAAGCCCGGGCAGGUCACACAAGCAGCAACACACACACACACACACACACACACACACACACACACACACUGCAAGUGUUGUCAUUCCCUGAGCAGCAGCAGCCAUGGAUCCCACACCGAGUCCUUACGACUACUACGACUAUGACGAGACGGAGAACUCCACCAUGUGCGACUACUCGGAGUGGACGCCGUCCUACUCCGUCAUCCCCGUGCUCUACAUGCUCAUCUUCAUCCUGGGCCUGUCGGGGAACGGCGUGGUCAUCUUCACCGUGUGGCGGGCGCAGGGCAAGCGGCGGGCGGCCGACGUCUACAUCGGCAACCUGGCGCUGGCCGACCUCACCCUGGUGGUGACGCUGCCCCUGUGGGCGGUCUACACGGCCAUGGGCUACCACUGGCCCUUCGGGGUGGCCUUGUGCAAGCUCAGCAGCUACGUGGUGCUCCUCAACAUGUACGCCAGCGUCUUCUGCCUCACCUGCAUGAGCUUCGACCGCUACCUGGCCAUCGUGCACUCCCUGUCCAGCACGCAGCUGCGCACCCGCGGCCACAUGCGCGGCUCCCUGGCCGCCAUCUGGAUCAUCUCGGGGCUGCUCGCCGCGCCCACCCUUAUAUUCCGCACCACCAGGCACGACCCGGCCAGCAACCGCACCUCCUGCGCCAUGGACUUCGCGCUGGUGAUGAGCAACAAGCAGCAGGAGAACUUGUGGAUCGCCGGGCUGAGCAUCUCCUCGUCGGCGCUGGGCUUCCUGCUGCCCUUCCUGGCCAUGAUGGUCUGCUACGGCUUCAUCGGCUGCACCGUCACGCGUCAUUUCAACACGCUGCGCAAGGAGGACCAGCGCAAGAGGCGGCUGCUGAAGAUCAUCACCACGCUGGUGGUGGUCUUCGCCGCCUGCUGGAUCCCCUUCCACGUGGUGAAGAGCGCCGACGCCCUCUCCUACCUGGACCUCUUCCCCGCCACCUGCGCCUUCCUGCGCUUCCUCCUCCUGGCCCACCCGUACGCCACCUGCCUGGCCUACGUCAACAGCUGCCUCAACCCCUUCCUCUACGCCUUCUUCGACCUGCGCUUCCGCUCGCAGUGCCUCUGCCUGCUCCACCUCAAGAAGUCCUUGCACGCCAGCCCCGCCGGCUCCUUGUCCUCCCAGAAGACGGAGGCCCAGUCCCUCGCCACCAAGGUCUAACUAACUGAGUUGGCGCGGGGGGUUUCGCAGCCUGCCGGACUGCUCGCAACAGGCUCGCGACCCGAGGGCGCCACGGCCUCGGAAAAGGACCGAUCGUCAAGUAACAAAACUGCAAAAAAGGAAAACGCGUCCUUCAUUUGACGGCUUCCUUUUUUGUGUUGACCUCGUGUUUGUUGUUAAGCACUUGAGGUGUGACGCCCGCUUGGUGUGUGUGUGUGUACGUGUGUUUGUGUGUGUUCUUGGAUUUCUGGCAUUCUUGAGACAUGAAAAAGGAAAAGUAGCAUCCAUAUGUGGACCGGUGAACAAGUUAGGACAUAAAUCAUGGUCCCAAUGCGGAUAACUAUCACAUCUAAUAGAACAUCUAAUGUCUCAUUUGCACCCCUGCUGGUGAAGAUUAGGGUGGUCCCAAAAAGGAUGGAUUUUUCAAAUUGACUACGUCGGUUUUAAAAGUGCUCAACCUCUGAGCAACAUAUGAAAUAACAAGUGUCUGUAAAAAAAAUUGGGCCAAAAUUUAUAAUGAAGAAAUAUGUAUAUAGAGACAUGCUGUUAUAACUUGGAAGUAAAAUAAUGAAGAUUACAAACAAAAAAAUCCAACAACAACAAAAAAAUUACUAAAAGCAGUCUUUUUCUCGCAAUGUGUCGACUUUUUCCUUAAAAAAAUCGGGAACAAUUCUCAUGUUCUUUCUGUUUCCGUAAUAUCGCUAUAUUUUCUCGUAAAAUUAUUACUUUUUUUAAUGCAAAACGGUUACGUUGGUCAUAUAAAAUUCCGACUUUUAUCGCAAUGUUGCCAAUUUUUUGGGUUUUCUUGGAAAAGAGUGAAAUUUUUCGAGUAAAAUUCAGAUUAUUAUUAUAAAAUCGUCAACAUUUUUAAGUUUUCCUGUGAAAGUAAAAUGACGACUCUUUUCAUGAAAUUGCCCACAUCUUGUAAAAUUGCGACUGUCGAGUAAAGUAUUGCACAAAUGUUCAGGGUUUUUUUUUUGUAAAAUUUGGACUCGCGUUGAGCAAAAUGACAACUUUUGUUACAAUACUAGCAAAAUUUGAUGUUUUUCUUGUUAAAUUGUGACCUUUUUCUUGUGAAAUUCCAACUCAUUUUUUAUAUUUGCUUAGUAUGUAUAUAUUAUUGAUGUUGUAAAUACACUUCUUUGUUUAUCUACAAAGGGUGGUCCUAAAGAGGAUUUUGGAGGUUUCAAGAAGGUAACAAAUACAAGAAUGUGUGUGUGCGUGUGUGUGCGUGUGUACGUGUGUGUUAGGUGUCGUAAGCAGAGACGAGGGUCCUGGGGAGGAAGGGAGACCAGACAGACAGACAGAUGGCAGCUGACAAAUGUUUUCAGACUAGCCCAAUUAAAAGAAUGUUUGCUUCUUCCUGUGGACGCAUUGCUGAGGGGCGGCGGUGGUCCUGCCAUUGUGUUGCCGAGGGUUUCCAAAUCAAAGUGUGCAGGAAAUGCAUGUUGGGACUGUCGUUUCCGCCCUCCUUCUCCCCGGACCCCUGAGCAGACUUUGCAGGAGCCAGGAGGUCAAGCAGGAAAGACACAAGGGUGGUUCCUGAUCAGGGAUAUCCUGCCUUUCUGGCGUCCACACAAGGCCGCCAUCGUUAGUGGAGGCACGUCGUUUCCGAGGGCGACGGCGGUGGAAGACGCUCCGGAUCUUGGCCUUAUUGUGUAGGCGACUGCACAAAGUCUCCCUUCUUCAUCUCUCCUCCCGCAUCCUGUCGGUUUGCUCCGGCUGCUAAAAGGGCUUCUCUGUGACCUCAGCUGCACGCUUUUAGUGUGCCGGCUUGCAGAGUACGGCGAAGAGGUGGCGACUUGUCCAGGGUGUACGGUGCCUUCCGCCCGAAUGCAGGUGAGAGAGGCUCCAGCGACCCCGAACGGGACAAGCAGUAGGAAAUUGAUGGAUGGGGUUGAAUUCAUUUAAGUUAUGUUAGCAGGCAAACACCUGUGAUUAAUCAUGAUUAAUCAGAAUUCAAAAGUGGAAUUACAUUUUUUUUGUAAUUAAUCAUCCAAAUAUUGUGGUCUUUUUUAAAUUAAUGUAAAUCAUGCAUGUGGGUAUAAA